GUAGUCCACGCCGUAAACGAUGUCGACUAGCCGUUGGGCACCUUAGAGUGCUUUGUGGCGCAGCUAACGCACUAAGUCGACCGCCUGGGGAGUACGGCCGCAAGGUUAAAACUCAAAUGAAUUGACGGGGGCCCGCACAAGCGGUGGAGCAUGUGGUUUAAUUCGAUGCAACGCGAAGAACCUUACCGCCCCUUGACAUCCCUGGAACCUCUUAGAGAUAGGAGGGUGCCUUCGGGAGCCAGGAGACAGGUGCUGCAUGGCUGUCGUCAGCUCGUGUCGUGAGAUGUUGGGUUAAGUCCCGUAACGAGCGCAACCCUUGUCCUUAGUUGCCAGCACGUAAUGGUGGGAACUCUAAGGAGACUGCCGGUGACAAACCGGA
rnacentral:rRNA from 1 species